CGGAGUGUGUACGUAUGUUUUUUGUCCUUCACGAGAUUUCGAUAUUAUUAUCUAUUUCGUAUUUGUUUUGGCAAUUUGUUUGGUAUUUUUUUUUUUUUAUAUAGGUACUUAUAGGUAAGUAUAUAAUGUGAUUCUAGUAGUUGGCUCGAAAUUUACACGUCAUCCGAUUGCGGCUGUUAGUCGAGUAAUCGUCAAUAAUUAUUAUGUCUGCAAUAAAAAAUUAUUAUCACGAUAUAGCGUACAUGCUACACUGGAUUUUUACAAUUCGUAUAGAUUCUAGGGCGUCGGGCGCGGGUUACGUCGUCGCUCGAAGAAUGUGUCGAUAUCGUUAACAACGUUUUAUCUUCG